rnacentral:rRNA from 1 species
AACCUAAAAACCNACUGCUCCUUCGGGGCUUCCUUGGUGAUUCAUAAUAACUUAACGAAUCGCAUGGCCUUGCGCCGGCGAUGGUUCAUUCAAAUUUCUGCCCUAUCAACUUUCGAUGGUAGGAUAGUGGCCUACCAUGGUGGCAACGGGUAACGGGGAAUUAGGGUUCGAUUCCGGAGAGGGAGCCUGAGAAACGGCUACCACAUCCAAGGAAGGCAGCAGGCGCGCAAAUUACCCAAUCCCGACACGGGGAGGUAGUGACAAUAAAUACUGAUACGGGGCUCUUUUGGGUCUCGUAAUUGGAAUGAGUACAAUCUAAAUCCCUUAACGAGGAACAAUUGGAGGGCAAGUCUGGUGCCAGCAGCCGCGGUAAUUCCAGCUCCAAUAGCGUAUAUUAAAGUUGUUGCAGUUAAAAAGCUCGUAGUUGAACCUUGGGUCUGGCUGGCCGGUCCGCCUCACCGCGAGUACUGGUCCGGCUGGACCUUUCCUUCUGGGGAACCUCAUGGCCUUCACUGGCUGUGGGGGGAACCAGGACUUUUACUGUGAAAAAAUUAGAGUGUUCAAAGCAGGCCUUUGCUCGAAUACAUUAGCAUGGAAUAAUAGAAUAGGACGUGCGGUUCUAUUUUGUUGGUUUCUAGGACCGCCGUAAUGAUUAAUAGGGAUAGUCGGGGGCGUCAGUAUUCAGCUGUCAGAGGUGAAAUUCUUGGAUUUGCUGAAGACUAACUACUGCGAAAGCAUUCGCCAAGGAUGUUUUCAUUUAUCAGGGAACGAAAGUUAGGGGAUCGAAGACGAUC